rnacentral:tRNA from 1 species
GCCCCCGUAGCUCAGUUGGUUAAGAGCGAGCGCCUUUUAAGCGCGAGGUCGUCGGUUCGAGUCCGACCGGGGGCA